GGGAUUCCUAUGACACCGAACCUAUAUAUAAGUGUUCUUCGCGAGUCAUCAACUAACCGAUUCAAACGCCCUUUCAUCAUUAUUGUAAACAUCGUCGUCGUUCUCCUCCUACUUCCUCCUCAAAGGAGUAAAAUGUUGCAGGCUAUGGUGUCCUGCAAGCACCUGACUUGGUUACCAUCUUCAUCACUUGCAAAAGAGAUGUACUCCUCCUACCACAUCAAUCCCUCAACUUCAGUCUUCCCCAUUUCUCAAUCAUCCAAAUUCAACAAUUCUCAUCGAAUCUUCUCUUCUUCAAGUGCCCUUUCUCUUUCCCGUAUGAGAAAUUGCAGUAAGGUGCAUGCAUUUGAUUUUCAAGGUGGACAAGGAAUGAAGAGUUACUUUGAUGUCGAGCUGAAAGUCCGUGACUAUGAACUAGAUCAGUAUGGUGUUGUAAACAAUGCUGUCUAUGCAAGUUAUUGCCAACAUGCCCGACACGAGCUUCUGGAGAGGAUUGGUGUCAAUGCAGAUGAAGUUGCUCGUACUGGAAACGCAUUAGCACUAUCGGAGUUGUCCCUCAAAUUCCUAGCACCACUAAGAAGUGGUGAGAGGUUCGUUGUGAAAGUGAGGAUCUCUGGCUCCUCACCUGCUCGCUUAUUCUUUGAACACAUCAUCUUGAAGCUACCAAAUCAAGAGCCCAUCUUGGAAGCAAAGGGCACGGCCGUUUGGCUCGACAAAAACUAUCGGCCUGUUCGUAUUCCACCAGAUAUGAGAUCGAAGUUGGUUCAGUUCAUUCGCCACGAAGAUCUGUAAUGAAUUUAAUCUAAGGGUAUAUGGUCUGAAGAUAUCACUGUUGUUUGUGGUGACUGUGGCCUUUCGGAUCAAGUUGACUAUUUGAUGCUUUACAUCUUUUGACGAUUGAAUUUUCGUGACCCUUACACAGUUUGUUCUAGAAUUCUUUAAGGUAAUCCGCACUUUACAAUUUUAGGCCACAGAAAGCAGAGCAGCGUACAAAGUCCACUGAGGUCAUCAAUCUCUAAACAGAAAACAUUAAAAAAAAAGGGCACGAAUGAGCUAGAAGAAGAAAGUUGUUGAAUGCAAACCUUACUCCUGAACUUUACUUCACAAAUUUUUGGAUGCAACCUGGUACAAAAUGAUUGAUUCUUGGACUAGUAGUCUACACCAGAAGUUCAGCCCCAUGCACUUCACGAUUGAAAUGCUUACACAAACAAACGAAGAACAAAGUAUUCAUUGUCACUGUAUGAAGGGGAAAAUUGUCAAAAUUAUUAACAUGGUGUGACAUGGUGCUGUUUCUUGACAAAUGUAUGUGUAUAUCCGUCGCUACUAUUUCUCUUUUCCUUUUGUUGUUCAUCUUCUUCUUAUCCAAAGAGGAUCGUUUGAGGAUUUUUUGUUUUGGGAGCCACUACAGCUCCCCGUCUGUUAUAGUUUAUUAGAUCCUUUCAAUCUGUCUAGUUUCCUCGUAAACAAUGGAGGAACUCCCAAUGAAAGCAUCUACCAAGGCCAAAAUUAUAACCAGUUUUUUGCCAUAACUAAACUGGAAAGAAACUCAUCUGGACAUGUAGUUGGAGCUCAUCAGAU